rnacentral:rRNA from 1 species
AGUAAUGUCUGGGAAACUGCCUGAUGGAGGGGGAUAACUGCUGGAAACGGUAGCUAAUACCGCAUAACGUCGCAAGACCAAAGAGGGGGACCUUCGGGCCUCUUGCCAUCGGAUGUGCCCAGAUGGGAUUAGCUAGUAGGUGGAGUAACGGCUCACCUAGGCGACGAUCCCUAGCUGGUCUGAGAGGAUGACCAGCCACACUGGAACUGAGACACGGUCCAG